rnacentral:tRNA from 1 species
GCGCAUGUGGCGGAAUUGGCAGACGCGCUACUUUGAGGUGGUAGUGGAGCAAUCCGUGCAGGUUCGAAUCCUGCCAUGCGCACCA